rnacentral:rRNA from 1 species
AUUGAACGCUGGCGGCAGGCCUAACACAUGCAAGUCGAGCGAGCGGCGGACGGGUGAGUAAUGUCUGGGAAACUGCCUGAUGGAGGGGGAUAACUACUGGAAACGGUAGCUAAUACCGCAUACCAUCAGAUGUGCCCAGAUGGGAUUAGCUAGUAGGUGGGGUAAUGGCUCACCUAGGCGACGAUCCCUAGCUGGUCUGAGAGGAUGACCGGCAACACUGGAACUGGGACACGGGCCAGACUCCUACGGGAGGCAGAAGUGGGGAAUAUUGCACAAUGGGCGAAAGCCUGCUGCAGACAUGCGGGGGAUGUGAGGAAGGCCUUCGGGUUGUAAAGUACUUUCAGAGAGGAGGCGGUACUCGAAGAAGAAGCACCGGCUAACUCCGUGCCAGCAGCCGCGGUAAUAC